GUCGUUGUAAUAUAGUGGUAAGUAUUCCCGCCUGUCAAAGGGUAACCCGGGUUCGAUUCCCGCAACGGCA
rnacentral:tRNA from 1 species